UACGGAGGGUGCAAGCGUUGUUCGGAUUUAUUGGGCGUAAAGCGCGUGUAGGCGGUCUCUUAAGUCUGAUGUGAAAGCCCCGGGCCCAACCCGGGAAGUGCAUUGGAUACUGGGAGACUUGAAUACGGGAGAGGGUAGUGGAAUUCCUAGUGUAGGAGUGAAAUCCGUAGAUAUUAGGAGGAACACCGGUGGCGAAGGCGGCUACCUGGACCGAUAUUGACGCUGAGACGCGAAAGCGUGGGGAGCAAACAGG
rnacentral:rRNA from 1 species